rnacentral:rRNA from 1 species
AUACGGAGGAUCCGAGCGUUAUCCGGAUUUAUUGGGUUUAAAGGGUGCGUAGGCGGCCUUUUAAGUCAGCGGUGAAAGUCUGUGGCUCAACCAUAGAAUUGCCGUUGAAACUGGGGGGCUUGAGUAUGUUUGAGGCAGGCGGAAUGCGUGGUGUAGCGGUGAAAUGCUUAGAUAUCACGCAGAACCCCGAUUGCGAAGGCAGCCUGCAAAGCCAUGACUGACGCUGAUGCACGAAAGCGUGGGGAUCAAACAGGAUUAGAUACCCUGGUAGUCCACGCAGUAAACGAUGAUCACUAGCUGUUUGCGAUACACUGUAAGCGGCACAGCGAAAGCGUUAAGUGAUCCACCUGGGGAGUACGCCAGCAACGGUGAAACUCAAAUGAAUUGACGGGG